AUUUAAGUUAUUUAUUUAUUUAUUUGGUCCGGCCAUUAGGGCUUGAUACAAACAAAAGCAGUAGCAGCUUUGACACAAACAAGCAGAUCGAAAGACAGAGCAGCAGCAAGAUGUAGUGUGUCAUUCUCCUCUUCGCUUCUCUCUCACACGCACAGCAACACGAUGGAGUCUGUCUAUUCUCUUCUCUCACACACGCACAGCACGAUCGAGAGAGAUAUCGAGGAAGAGAAGGAGAUCAUGAUAAAGAGAGAAGGAGAUCGAGACAGAGAAGAAGAUCAAAAGACACGAUCAAGAUCUUGAACCCAACAUCAAUGUACACCAAAUGGGGCCGUUAUCAUCGGUACGAUGACAUCAGCUUGACAUCAUAACCUAUAUGGAUCAGGCUCGUUUUUCCCUUCUGAUAAUAAUCGUAAUUUUUUGUGGAAUUUUUUUACAACAAUUGAUGUGAGUUUCUGAUUUUUGAAUGAUUUUCGAGUUUUUUGGUCUCAUUUUUUUAAUCUGUGAUUUGGAGUGUUAUUCGAGGAUUUUACUGGUUGGAACACAAACCCUGGGUGUCGAAAUUGAUAGGAGAUGUAUCCUUGAGGUUGUUUUGUUUGAUUUGUUGGCGUUGGGUUAGAGUUUGUGUUUGGUUCCUCACGGUGCUCGAAAAUUUUACCUCCUGACAGAUCGAGUCCCUAUUUAUUUUUUUAUUUCCUUGCUGCUGUGUUGGUGUUCUCCCAAUUGUUGGGUGUGUGUUGGGUCAUUCUUUGUUGACAUUGUUGAUUGGGUUUCUUCGUUGCUUGUGAUAUUGCCCUAUAUUUAUUUUUUGCUUUUUGAUAUUUGUGUGCCUGAUUAUCAUGGCUGAGGCAAAGCCCCCAAUGGUUAAAGAUAAUGAGAUGCCUAAAUCUAUUACAGCCAAGAAAUUAAAUGGUUGAACUAUUUGGCUUGGGCUCACGUAGUGAAGGUUUUCUUACGUGGCAAGAAGAAAUUAUCUCCCUUUCAAACCAAAUGGUAAAUAGUAUGAUGAUUGGUCUAGUUAUGACUUCGGUUUUAUGUGGUGACUUUGGCAUAGUUUGGAACCUCGGGUUACUACUACCGUUGAAUUUUGCGAAACGUCUAAACAAAUUUGGAACUCUCUUGCCGAGUCAUUUUCCAUCAGAGUAACGUUUCUCGAGUUUGUAAGUUGUACAAACAAAUCUUUGCUACUCGGCAGAGUGGUCAUUCCCUUUCAGACUAUUACAAUGGCCUUAAGAAUUUGUGGGAUCAAUUAUUGCAACAUCGUCCAUUUACUACGGAUUUAGCUUAACAGAAGAAAUAUUGGGAAGAGUUUAUGAUGGCAUCCUUACUCACAAGCCUAGAUUCUAACUCGCAAAGUUACAGGGAUCAGAUUCUUGCUAGUGAGAAGUUACCUUCUACUGCUAAUGAUUCUCGCUUGUUGCGUUCAUCCUUGGAACAGAGUCAUGUCAUAUCUGGCUCCUCUUCUCCAUCUGUAUCCUCAUCUACAUUGAUCUCUAAUAGUAGUGAUUGUGGUCAUCUCUAUGGUGCUUUUCAUGGCAACUCAAGUCAUCGUGGCUCUUAUACUAGUUCUCGUGGCUAUAAUUCCCGUGGUAGUUCUUCUCAUGGCUCCCACGGUGGUGGUGGUUCUCGUGGCGGAUAUUCUCGUGGUGGUGGUUCCGUUCCAUGUGGUGAUCGCAAGUGUACUCAUUGUGGUUCCUCCGGUCAAAACAUAUCCAGACAUUAUUCUAACUUCUCUAGACAUUAUUCUAGUUUGUGAAAUCAAAACCCUUUGUUCUGAAAGAUGUAAGCCAUUAGAGCAUCCUUAAUUGUAUCUCUCUCUAGCUCUUUGAACCACUGGUGUAAUUGUUUGUAUUUUGGAUAGAUGACAAGGCAGAAACCAGGAAUAUCUUAAGAAAA